AGAAUCAACGCUGGCGGCGUGCCUCAGACAUGCAAGUCGAACGAUUAAACUUUCCUUCGGGAAAGAUAUAAAGUGGCGCACGGGUGAGUAACACGUAAGUAAUCUACCUUCGAGUGGGGAAUAACGUUCGGAAACGAACGCUAAUACCGCAUAACGCAGCGGCAUCGCAAAAUGACAGUUGUUAAAGGAGCAAUCCGCUUGAAGAGGAGCUUGCGGCAGAUUAGCUAGUUGGUAAGGUAACGGCUUACCAAGGCUACGAUCUGUAUCCGGUCUAAGAGGACGGUCGGACACACUGACACUGAAUAACGGGUCAGACUCCUACGGGAGGCAGCAGUCGGGAAUUUGGGCAAUGGGCGAAAGCCUGACCCAGCAACGCCGCGUGAAGGAUGAAGUAUUUCGGUAUGUAAACUUCGAAAGAAUGGGAAGAAUAAAUGAACGGUACCAUUUAUAAGCUCCGGCUAACUACGUGCCAAGCAGCCGCGGU
rnacentral:rRNA from 1 species